rnacentral:tRNA from 1 species
GCCAGCUUAGCUCAGCUGGUAGAGCAACUGUCUUGUAAACAGUAGGUCAUCGGUUCGACUCCGAUAGGUGGCUCCA